rnacentral:lncRNA from 1 species
UCGACUCCUAGAACUGUGAGUAACCUUACUAUCAUCUUAAUUAUCUAGAGUGGUUUUUAUCUGAUUUUGUGAUUUUAUAAAAAAUGAGUUUAAAUGGUAAAUCUUGUGUUUUAUAAGCAAAAUGUGUUUAAAUAAAAUGAUUUUAUAAAUUGUCUUGAAAUUGAAUUAUGGUUUUGAAAAUAGAGUAAUUGGAGACCACUUGAUGUGUUGUAAAUUUAUGGUUUUAAAUUGAAUGGCUUAUGACAAUAUAUGAGCAUGAAUGGCUAAACUAAUUUUCGGUGUUAGAAUUAUUUGUACUGUGUAUUCAGCCUUAAGAGCCUACGUUGCCAUAAAUUGCCAUGUCAUGCAGAUAAAGAUUUUAUAAAUUAGGUGGUAGAUAAAAUAAUCCAUAAUCCCUGCAGUGGAGGUUCUGUGGACUAGCUUAAGAGAGGGGGCACAGAAUCAGAUAUACCUUACCUCGAUCGGAGAGCCGUGUGGAGGGUGUCUCUAGAGGUAAAGAUUUGAGCGCACUUCACGUGGAUCACCGCGUGAGAGUGAGACUCAGCCAACGCCAAGGCAUGGCU